rnacentral:rRNA from 1 species
GACGUAGGGCGCGAGCGUUGUCCGGAUUUAUUGGGCGUAAAGAGCUCGUAGGCGGCUUGUCGCGUCGACCGUGAAACCUCACAGCUCAACUGUGAGCCUGCGGUCGAUACGGGCAGGCUAGAGUUCGGUAGGGGAGACUGGAAUUCCUGGUGUAGCGGUGAAAUGCGCAGAUAUCAGGAGGAACACCAGCGGCGAAGGCGGCAUCCUGGACUGGUCCUGACACUCAGGAGCGAAAGCGUGGGGAGCGAUCCGG